AAAAAAACCCUAACCCCACAGCACUUUGAGACGAGUCAUAUAGCCCAGCUAUAUGACAAGAAAUCAUGUGACAUGUUCCAGCCGAGCAUCAGAGCCCCUGAAAGAGGUGAAGAUGAAGCAGCCGUCACUGCUGUGGCCCCAGAAAUAGCUCGGACGGAGGUGUUCAAGCUGCCACGCAGGUGAAUGCUUUCCACUCUUCUAGGACUCACUCCCCUCAAAAAAGCAGGAACCCUUACCCACCCUCGCAGCAUGCCUCUCCUGUCCGCUCCACUGCCGGCGUUUAAAGCAGCUGUUCUCAAGCUUCAACGUGUGUGUACGCAUCUCCUCGGGAUCUUGUAGUAAAAUAAAGAUUCUAAUUCAGCCGGUGUGAGCUGGGACCUGAGACCCUACAUCUCUCUCAAGCCCCCAGGUGAUCAGCGUGACUACCUGACACAGACUCCCCUGCUGUUCGGGUGAGAAGGCGCUGAAGGGAAGCAUUUACCGCUGAAGCAUCGUCACUCUUGGUAUGAAAGCGAGUCUUGCCUGCUUCCUUUGGUCGACUUCCGAAGGGGAUUUCUUGCUUCGCCAGGAUAUAUAUAUUUAAAUUACUUUCAAUUCCACAUCCCUCUCCCCACCCUGCCACGCUGUCCCUUCCAAAUGGAGCCUGAGGCUCACUGCCUUGUAUAAUUCUUCCUUUUCUACACCUGGUUAGAAGUAUAAAAUUUGUACCACCCUCCUGAUCAGAAUAAUGCAUAUAAAACUCCCUCACUGGGGGAAAAAGAGUC